rnacentral:rRNA from 1 species
GUCCAGGUUAUCCCUUUGGGGAAACUGCGGAUGGCUCAUUAACUCGGUUGGAAUCUAGAUGAACACCCCCAGUACGUGGAUAACCACGGAUUAUCCGCGGCUAAUACGUGCUCUACUGUGCCGUCUCCUGAUCGUACUGAAUACAUUAUUUCCAUGAUCUGCUUUGUUUGGGUGAUUCAUGAUGUCUAAGCGAAUCGUAUGACCUUGUGUCGACCAUGAUUCCUUCUACUUUCCGCCCUAUCAACUUUGGAUUCUAGUGUAGUGGACUACCAUGAUUGUGACGGGUGACGGGGACUUAUGGUUCGAUUCCGGAGAGGGAGCCUGAGAUAUGGCUACUACAUCCAAGGAAGGCAACAGGCCCGCAAAUUACCCUAAUGGUCACAGACCGAGGUAAUGACAAUAGAUAUCGAUGUUGCUGAUUCGUCAUUGACAAUCGGAAUGAACUGAAGAUAAAUCUCUCUAUGAGUACCAAUU